rnacentral:rRNA from 1 species
UACGGAGGGUGCGAGCGUUGUCCGGAAUCACUGGGCGUAAAGGGCGCGUAGGCGGCCUGAUAAGUAGGGGGUGAAAUCCUGCGGCUUAACCGCAGGGCUGUCUUCUAAACUGUCAGGCUCGAGCACAGUAGAGGCAGGUGGAAUUCCCGGUGUAGCGGUGGGAUGCGUAGAGAUCGGGAAGAACAUCAGUGGGCGAAGGCGGCCUGCUGGGCUGUUGCUGACACUGAGGCGCGACAGCGUGGGGAGCAAACAGG